GACGAACGCUGGCGGCGUGCUUAACACAUGCAAGUCGAACGGAAAGGCCCUGCUUUUGUGGGGUGCUCGAGUGGCUAACGGGUUAGUAACACGUGAGUAACCUGCCCUUUACUUUGGGAUAACUUCAGGAAACUGGGGCUAAUACCGGAUAGGACCUCCUGCUGCAUGGUGGGGGUUGGAAAGUUUCGGCGGUUGGGGAUGGACUCGCGGCUUAUCAGCUUGUUGGUGGGGUAGUGGCUUACCAAGGCUUUGACGGGUAGCCGGCCUGAGAGGGUGACCGGCCACAUUGGGACUGAGAUACGGCCCAGACUCCUACGGGAGGCAGCAGUGGGGAAUAUUGCACAAUGGGCGGAAGCCUGAUGCAGCAACGCAGCGUGCGGGAUGACGGCCUUCGGGUUGUAAACCGCUUUCGCCUGUGACGAAGCGUGAGUGAAGGUAAUGGGUAAAGAAGCACCGGAUAACUACGUG
rnacentral:rRNA from 1 species